UAGCCUAGUGGUUAAGGCUAUGGAUUGCCAAUCCGGAGACGGCGGGUUCAAUUCCCGU
rfam:Aedes albopictus isolate Foshan contig67284, whole genome shotgun sequence.